rnacentral:lncRNA from 1 species
AUUUGAAGUUGUGGUCGCUUGGGUAAUAACUUUUUUCAAUCGACAGUCGGACAAGCAAUGCCUUACCACUAUCCAAAUGUAACUCACCCGUCACCACCGUGGAGAACGCUUGUGAUGACGAGUUGAGCAGGUUUUGAAGGUAUAUAAAUGUCGUCAUGCUUUGAAUUUUUGCCAUAAUAUUAACAUUAUUUUGCCAUAAUAUUACCGUUGUUCUUGUUGUGUAUGACUAUUUCCUUAAAUAUAUAAACCAUGAUGUACUGUUCUUCAUUUAUGUUGGUGUUUUAUACAUAAAGCAAGUUGUGUUUUGAAUGGAGAUAAUGGAUGUGAUAGGUGAUGCUGUGACAAAUGUAACUCUUUGUUCUAGGUGCAAAUCAAGGUGGCAACAAUAUAAAAUUGAAAGGAUGGCCACUAACUGUAAGUAUAUUAUGGUUCAGAUGCUGUUUUUCUCUCCUCAAUAUAGUGUAAUUAUAAAUUGGUUUUUGUGAAGUACCUUCUCAAAUACUUGUUUUAUGAUCCAAUAUUUGGUUAUAUAGACUUCUAGGAGCCGUUCUACCAUUUCCCAACUAAACAUGGAUAUUUUCUCCUGGUCUUUCUUUCUUUUCGUUUUUUUUUUUUUUCUUUUUUUUUCAAAUGGAUCAAUGGAUUUCACCCCUCCCCCAUUCCUGACAUAUUAAGAUUAGAGAGAUGUGGCAUAAACUUUGGAAAUAUUUAUUCAUUAGGUAAUGGUCACUUAGCUCACACUAUAGUGGGAGUGUCGUCCAGGAAGGGCUUUUUUGAAGUUUUUCCUUUAUUUUUUUAAUUAAUCUUCCUACUACAACCUGCCUUGGAUGUUUCAUUUCAUUUUUAUCAACAAUGUUGUCUGCCAAAUCUUUAUCUGGGGUCAAAAAGGAACAAAUCUUGGUAGCUUUAUAGAUUUUGAACACGUUGGGAUUUGAUUUCAUUGUUUAUCAACAAUCUUGUCUGCCAAACGAACUAUGGUAUACCUUGCAAUCUAUUUAUCACUAUUUUUACAUGUUGGGUGCAAGUUUUUUGCUUACAUUGUUAAACUACCAUUUCACAGACUCCAACUGCAUACCCUCCUCAAGAUUGGAGAUGUUGAGUUUGGGCAUUUUCAAUUGAUUUUGGCGGUAAGCGAAAGGCUGGUAAAGUUGUGUUGGUAAAAGGAAAUGUGUAGUAGUUAGACAAGGAGAAGAAGAAGAGAUCCUAAUGUUAUUUUGGCGGGACAAUAUUUUGUAUCUAUGUUCUUAUGACAUGAUGUUGCCGUAU